GGAAGUGUUCUCCUCAAGCCCUCUCAUGAUGCCUAUCACGACAAAUCCUGGAGCGAGUGCGGUUGCAACAGUCGUAGGUGUUAUCCUAGCUAUCCUGGUCAUCGUUGUCAUCGUUCUUGUGGUCCUCAUCUACAUAAGAAAAAAGAAUGAAAUGCCCCUGCUCCACGACAGAGAGAACGGCUUCUCUAUGGAACCAGUGAUGGGCCAUGAGAAAGAACAGGG